UGAGAAUAGGUCGAGGGCGGCGCGCCCCCGAUGCCUCUGAUCAUUCGCUUUACCUGAUAAAACUAACAAAACUCCAGCUAUCCUGAGAGAAACUUCGGAAGAAACCAGCUACUAGAUGGUUCGAUCAGUCUUUCGCCCCUAUACCCAAGUUUGACGAACGAUUUGCACGUCAGUAUCGCUACGAACCUCCAUCAGGGUUUCCCCUGACUUCAUUCUACUCAGGCAUAGUUCACCAUCUUUCGGGUCCUAACAGAUAUGCUCCAACUCAAACCUCUCUCAGAGAUCGUGGUCGGUCGUAGGUGCGAAGAAUGGCAAAGCCAAAAUCUCCCUACUCUCACUUUCAUUGCGCAUACAGGAGUAAAACCCGCAUACUCGCACAUAUGUUAGACUCCUUGGUCCGUGUUUCAAGACGGGUCGGUUGGAACCGAUUAAGCCAGCAUCACAGAAACCGAGUACUCGAAAGUGGAGCUCGGAAACAGGAACACUCCUCAGCCACAAGGAAAAGGAAAGAACAAAGAUAUAACGGUCCACAAGGAACCUACCUUCUUUGAACGAAAUCAAUUCCGAGUAGCUGAUGCUGACCUCUCCAAAAAGAUGAACCGGAAAUACAUCAAGAAACCAAAGCCUAAACCUGGUGAGAGAGAGAAGGCAAAGGGAUAGAUGGCAAACCGGCGGCACUUCUUGGAAUCAAAAAGGUCCCAAUCGCUUCCUUUUCAGCAAUUUCAGGCACUUUUAACUCUCUUUCCAAAGAACUUUUCAUCUUUCCCUCACGGUACUUGUUUGCUAUCGGUCUCGCGCCAGUACUUAGCUUUAUGUGAAACCUACCACACAUUUUGCGCUCAAAUCCCGAUGAACGCGACUCUAUAAAAGCGUACCGUACGUGGAACAAAAAACGCAGGGGAAGGACGGGAUUCUCACCCUCUAUGAUGUUCUUUCCCAAGAAACUUAACCCUGCGCUUCCACUGGUAACGCCUCUCGAGGCUACAAGUCAACAGCUCGGAAAGAGCAGUUGAUUUCCACUUUGAGCUGAUCCCGGUUCACUCGCCGUUACUAAGGGAAUCAUAGUUAUUUUCUUCUCCUCCGCUUAAUAAUAUGCUUAAGUUCAGCGGGUAACCUCGCCUGAUUUCAGGUCUG